rnacentral:lncRNA from 1 species
CUGUCCCACCCUGCCCAGGCAGCUGCCUGACCUCACUGUGAGAGCAGACUCCUAGCAGGAGCCCAGAGCUGCUGGGAGCAAGGCCAUGCAGGAACACUUUCUCCCAGCAGCACCCAUACAGACCAAGCCAGCAGCAGCUGUUGGGCUGAAAGUGCUGGGAGACUUCAGACUCUUGGACAGAUAUAAAUGACCAGACACCGGUGUGUGCAGAGUCUUCUUUGUCCAGUGAGUUGGCCCCUGGCCUGAUUUCAGGGUGUGAAGAUACAGUCCCUGCUGAGCAGUCUGCAGGUGAUCAGCUGUCCCAGGAGCUCAAGCACGUGAAGCAAGAGCUGGAACAAGUGAAGGGUGAGCUUGCUGACAAGACUGCCCAGUGUGAAGCCAAUCAGCAGACAAUCUCCUCCUUGCAGGCUCAUCUCAGCGUAUCAGGAAAUAUUCCUGCUUUCAGAUGGAAAUCUGUCUGAAAGAUGCAGCAGUGGUGACCUGGGG